rnacentral:rRNA from 1 species
AGAGUUUGAUCAUGGCUCAGAAUCAACGCUGGCGGCGCGCUUAACACAUGCAAGUCGAACGCGCAGCAUUCUGUAGCAAUACAGGGUGUGGGCGCGUGGCGAACGGGUGCGUAACACGUGGAUAACCUUCCUUGAGGUGGGGAAUAACCCAGUGAAAAUUGGGCUAAUACCGCAUAACAUCGCGAUGGCACAUGCUGAUGCGAUCAAAGGCGCAAGUCGCCACAAGAGGGAUCCGCGGCCGAUUAGCUUGUUGGCGAGGUAAUGGCUCACCAAGGCAAUGAUCGGUAGCCGGACUGAGAGGUUGGCCGGCCACACUGGAACUGAGACACGGUCCAGACUCCUACGGGAGGCAGCAGUGGGGAAUCUUGCACAAUGGACGAAAGUCUGAUGCAGCAACGCCGCGUGGGGGAUGAAGCUUCUCGGAGUGUAAACCCCUUUCGACCCGGAAGAAUGCCCGCAAGGGUAUGACGGUACGGGUAUAAGAAGCCCCGGCUAACUACGUGCCAGCAGCCGCGGUAAUACGUAGGGGGCCAGCGUUGCUCGGAAUUACUGGGCGUAAAGGGUCCGUAGGCGGUGUAGCAAGUCGAUAGUGAAAUCUCUGGGCUUAACCCAGAGGCUGCUAACGAAACUGCUGUGCUAGAGUGUGAGAGAGGCGAGUGGAAUUACGGGUGUAGCGGUGAAAUGCGUAGAUAUCCGUAGGAACAUCCGAGGCGAAGGCGGCUCGCUGGAUCACAACUGACGCUGAGGGACGAAAGCUAGGGGAGCAAACAGGAUUAGAUACCCUAGUAGUCC